CUUCUUGUUCCCAGCCUAAAUCCUUUCUCCUUUUCAUCUCUCCCUGAGGAUACAAACAGGAUUCUGCUGCCCCUGACCACUCUGCAAGUCCAGCAUAUUAUGAAGCAUCAAAAAGGAUCACUCCAUUCAGGCGAGAUCUGAAUUCCUAAUGAUAGAUAAGAUGGAAAGAAAAAAUGGAGCGACCUUAAUGCAUAACUUUGCUCCAGACCUGGGGAGCAUCUCAAUUUUCCAAAUCUUCUGUCAUCACAUAAUGAACUCUGCAGAAUACAAUCAACAGCUGUUGUGCUGCUGGCAAGGGGGACGUUGUAUGCAAGCUGCCUUUCAACUCAAAAGAAAGACCCUAAAAAAAACCCAAAAUAUUAAGAGAUUGAUUCUCCUCCCAAAGUUAAAGUAUGGCAUGAAAAGUGGAUCACUGCUUCAAAAUGGACCACCUGAUUUAAUGGCAGCUGGCCAUUAAUUCUCUGGAAAUUGUUUUCCACCUCAAAUGCUGUUCUUUAAACAAAAGUCUGCAAGGUUUGAACACUACAGGAGAGAACUGGACCUCCAAAGAUCCAAGUGCUUGGGAAGAAUAAAGCAAGUAUAUUUGUUUACCAUUUGAUAGACAUUUUGUUAUUAACCAUAUUUUUUAAUUGUGCUAACAGCUCUUUGAUGAUAGCAAGUCAUUAUUGCAAGAAGUCAUUGUGAAAUGACUAUGGGACAUUUCUCAGAAGGGUGAGCUUUAAUCUUCCACUGCUUUCCAUGGACAUAGCCAUUUUGCCUUAGUGGAAGCACUGGGUCUCCACAACAAGCAUCAUGCAGUACUCUUGUACCCAAAGACCAUACAGCCAAAAACCAGCCCAACUAGCCCUUAUUUUCCCUGAUAUCUGCUAUGGAGGAGACUUAUCCCACUAUUCACUCUACCACAUUCCUGAUGUAACACUCUGUGAUGCUUGCAAGUGAGCAGGUAAGGAUUGGGAUUACCUCCCAUCUAAAUAACAGAAAAAUAACAUAGAACCAUAGAGUCACAUAAUUGUUUGAGUUAGAAGUGACCCUUAAACUUCAUCUAGUCCAAUGCCCCUACAAUGAACAGAGAUGCAUGCAGCUAGAUCAGGUUGCUCAGAACCCUGUCCAGCCUGACUUUGAAUGUCUCAUCCACCACCUCUCUGGGCAACCUGUUCCAGAGCCUCACCACUCCUAUUGUAAAAAACUUAUUCCUUAAAUCCAAUCUAAAUCUCUCUCCUUUAGUUUGAAACCAUUUUCCUUUGUUUUG
ensembl:lncRNA